GGCGGCUCUCUCUAUACUGACUGCCAGGUGUAAAGGGCGGAGCUUAUAACAAUGAUUGACAGGGAGCUAAGAUGGAGGUGGCUCUCUCUAUACUGACUGCCAGGUGUAAAGGGCGGAGCUUAUAACAAUGAUUGACAGGGAGCUAAGAUGGAGGUGGCUCUCUCUGCUGACUGCCAGGUGUAAAGGGCGGAGCUUAUAACAAUGAUUGACAGGGAGCUAAGAUGGA